rnacentral:rRNA from 1 species
GAUGAACGCUGGCGGCGUGCCUAAUACAUGCAAGUCGAGCGAACGGACGAGAAGCUUGCUUUUCUGAUGUUAGCGGCGGACGGGUGAGUAACACGUGGAUAACCUACCUAUAAGACUGGGAUAACUUCGGGAAACCGGAGCUAAUACCGGAUAAUAUUUUGAACCGCAUGGUUCAAAAGUGAAAGACGGUCUUGCUGUCACUUAUAGAUGGAUCCGCGCUGCAUUAGCUAGUUGGUAAGGUAACGGCUUACCAAGGCAACGAUGCAUAGCCGACCUGAGGGGGUGAUCGGCCACACUGGAACUGAGACACGGUCCAGACUCCUACGGGAGGCAGCAGUAGGGAAUCUUCCGCAAUGGGCGAGAGCCUGACGGAGCAACGCCGCGUGAGUGAUGAAGGUCUUCGGAUCGUAAAACUCUGUUAUUAGGGAAGAACAUAUGUGUAAGUAACUGUGCACAUCUUGACGGUACCUAAUCAGAAAGCCACGGCUAACUACGUGCCAGCAGCCGCGGUAAUACGUAGGUGGCAAGCGUUAUCCGGAAUUAUUGGGCGUAAAGCGCGCGUAGGCGGUUUUUUAAGUCUGAUGUGAAAGCCCACGGCUCAACCGUGGAGGGUCAUUGGAAACUGGAAAACUUGAGUGCAGAAGAGGAAAGUGGAAUUCCAUGUGUAGCGGUGAAAUGCGCAGAGAUAUGGAGGAACACCAGUGGCGAAGGCGACUUUCUGGUCUGUAACUGACGCUGAUGUGCGAAAGCGUGGGGAUCAAACAGGAUUAGAUACCCUGGUAGUCCACGCCGUAAACGAUGAGUGCUAAGUGUUAGGGGGUUUCCGCCCCUUAGUGCUGCAGCUAACGCAUUAAGCACUCCGCCUGGGGAGUACGACCGCAAGGUUGAAACUCAAAGGAAUUGACGGGGACCCGCACAAGCGGUGGAGCAUGUGGUUUAAUUCGAAGCAACGCGAAGAACCUUACCAAAUCUUGACAUCCUUUGACAACUCUAGAGAUAGAGCCUUCCCCUUCGGGGGACAAAGUGACAGGUGGUGCAUGGUUGUCGUCAGCUCGUGUCGUGAGAUGUUGGGUUAAGUCCCGCAACGAGCGCAACCCUUAAGCUUAGUUGCCAUCAUUAAGUUGGGCACUCUAAGUUGACUGCCGGUGACAAACCGGAGGAAGGUGGGGAUGACGUCAAAUCAUCAUGCCCCUUAUGAUUUGGGCUACACACGUGCUACAAUGGACAAUACAAAGGGCAGCGAAACCGCGAGGUCAAGCAAAUCCCAUAAAGUUGUUCUCAGUUCGGAUUGUAGUCUGCAACUCGACUACAUGAAGCUGGAAUCGCUAGUAAUCGUAGAUCAGCAUGCUACGGUGAAUACGUUCCCGGGUCU